GCACCGUCUCGCAGGGAGCCAGGCAGCUUCCGGCCUCUGCGGCGGCGGUGGCCGAGAAGCAGUGAGCGGAGAAGGCCGAGGAAGGGCUGAGGACGGUGAUGUACCUCAGCUGUUGGGGUCCAAAUUAGCAGCUGCAACUUAGUGCUAGCUAGGCGUGUGUGUGUUUGCUGCAACAACCAUGGCCUGAAACCACGAUGUAAAAACUCGGUAUUAGCUGGCUUCCUGUGGAACCCCCCGUCGUAAAAACCACAAUGAUGAUGACAAAUUUCUGUUACUUCAGUUAUCUGUUUGCCUUUUUGUUAUCUUGAUGAGAAAUACGAAUUGAUGCUUUACUUUAGUUUUGGCUAUUCCCUUGUCUUUGAACCCGGCCUUUUGGUCGUAUGUCAUUACAACUCACAAGGACUUCAUUUUUGCCGAUCUACUGAGCGACUGAGUUCAUGGCAAACAUGCUGUAUUUCUUCAGUCUGCAAGCACACAUAAAGGUGUCAUCUGCAGGUGUCGAAGUGACACACAUGAUAAAUUCCCAAUACUGAAGGUGUCAUCAAGCAAUCCGUUUUGUUUCAGUUUUGCUCGUUGACCUGCCUCCAGUUACUUGGUUCGUCCACAUUAAAUACUAGUUAACUGAUCCUUACCAUCGGGAGGGUUUCUGAUCAGAGCUAUAGGAAGAGCCAAAAAGGCAGGUCACGUGUUUUUCUUUCUAACUUUCCUAGGGUCAUGCAGGCAGAUGAAUUGGCUUUUGAACAAGAGGAGUUCCCAUACGUUUUGAGUGCCACGAGUUUUUCUUUUGAACCAUGUUAACCUCUUUCCAUUAAUACAACAAUGUUGGUAUCAGCAUAGUAUCAAUACCACGAGUUUCUCGGAAGUAACCAACAUGUAUUUAUAUUAUUAGUAAUAAACAAUAAUCAAGAUGUUUGCCUGAGGCGCACACAUGGAUGACUCCGGUGUCUCCUCCAUCUGACGUUCACACGAAGCUCACACGGCCCCUGGUAUGGUGGAAACCAUGUCUUCCUGCGUGCGCGUCACCCCUAUCUAAUCUUAUCUCUCUGCCUUGUCUGGUCGUAACGGACAAAACCAAGGCCCAAUGUGCCGGAACGAGAGCGACGGCUGCGGCGCAAGCAAGCAAAAGUGCUCGCCUGGGAGCCGGAGCACCCGGUAUCUAGAAAACCAGGGCCCGCGGCAGCCUGUUUAGCUCGGGCUCUCUUGUAUAUAAUCACGGACCACUACCACUCUUCCUCCCAUCAGCACGGACAAGCAUCCGCUUCAGUGAGACAGUUCAAGAAAUCAACUCCUUUUUUCAGUACCACAACUUCGCAAGUCCAUUAUCACUACACACAAGGAUUCAGUAUCCUUGCCAGCAGCCAAGCAAGGACAAGGAGGAGGAGAAGAGAUGGCUGCUCCGGCGAAGGCUUCGUGGAUGGUGGCCAUGAGCGUGGGCGCGGUGGAGGCGCUCAAGGACCAAGCCGGGCUCUGCCGCUGGAACUACGCACUCGGGUCCAUCCACCGAGCUGCCAAGGCCAACGUCCGCGGUGGUGUCUCGCAGGGCACCAAGCAUCUUCCGGUCUCCGCGCCGACGGUGACGGAGAAGGCCGAGGAGGGGCUGAGGACGGUGAUGUACCUCAGCUGCUGGGGCCCAAAUUAGGAGUAGUAGUAUCUUAGGGGUGUUGUGUUCGUUGCAGCUUGUGCGUAUGUGACAACCCGAUGAUCGAUUGUAAAUACAGCACGAUGAUGAUGAUGAAAAUUUCGGCUAUGAGUUUAUAUCACCCUCCUUGUCCAUGUGCUUCUAUGACUGUCUUUUGAAAGGCCAAAGGUUGAUGUUUGUCAAGAGAGGACCUGUUCAGUUACAUGGGGAGCGCAACUCAGCAAAACGGGGCAUACAGAAAACAGAGGAACUUCAGCUGCCUAUACCGAACAGCCAAACUCUGAAGAAAGGAUAGAACAUGGGAGUUGGAUCUCAGCGAUACACCUGGCUGCCCUCCAAGAUUUCACAUCUUCUUUGAUCAAAUUCGAACACCUCCGGGUCACUGCAAGCGGUGGCUGUUAGAGAUUAUAGCUUUGUGUACUUUGAUGGAGUCGACCUGCUGGAUGUGCUUCUGAUUUUUGUUAGUAAACAUUGACAAAAGUUUUGAUUGCUUGCGAAGUUUCAUCAUGACAUGACAUUGUUGGAAGACGUGGAAAAAAACAAAAUCAAUGCUCGAAAAUUCUUUUGAAAAUAACCUUCUCGAAGCAUCAAUUUUAUUUGUCAAAACUGCCAAUACUGGGAGCAGUCCCUCUGCACCAGGACGAUAAUGAGAGGUGCGGUGUACACAAGUGAAAGACCCCGAAAGCACUGGGGGAUCCUGGAAAAGGGUCGAGGACCGUCCUAAUGGUGAUGUAAACGGUCUUAUAUUAGUUUACACAGGAAGUGCUAGUUAGCAAGAGGUGUUUUUGCAGUUCUGCUAGCUCCAGCCUCAAGCAACAACCAUGCCGUGUGACUGUUUAAUUCCCUCCCGAUUGUAAAUAUGUCUCACCAUGAUGAUAAUGAUGAAAUCUUACCCCACUUUGAGUUCACAUUACCUGAUUCAAAGAAUAAGGUUUGCAUUGCCCUUCAAACAGCUCUUUUGCUUAGUAUUCUUUUGGAAGAUUAUUGCUUGGAGUUGGUCACAAGCUUUGCCUGUUGCUCUGUUCUGUUCGCUACUUCGACAGGCAGAGCAAAAGCAGAGACCCGAAAAAUUGAUCCUGAUCCAUAAGUUUCCUGCCAGCCUACAAAUGAUAAUAAAAACUGUAAAUCAUCAGAGGAAAACUAAAAUAAAAUAAAGCGGAACAUAAUGAAUCAUGGUAGGCAAGAAAAAUGAGCAAAAUCGGUGCCCCUUGUUCUCCUCUUUACAUGUCAGAUGUGGUUAGUGCCUUUUUUAAUUGGCAGGGCCAUGUAUCUUUUUUUUGUAUAUUUUAAGAACUAUAUAUUUUGCUACAUCAAUUGUCAAAGUAUAAAACUACAAUGUUGGAAAUUUCUGGUCUCCAAGUGUCAAAUUGUCUAUUUGUAUCUAGACACAUUUAUAGUUGUCUUACCAUCAUGUUGGCCCGACGAUUUUGCAUACACAAAAUUCAUAUUAUUCCUUAUGGGGAAAUAUGGUUCUUCAACCUUUAUCAACCCUUAAAUUUGGCUCCGCGUCUCCAAUGAAAAAAUUAUUUGUCCAUAAAGUGUCGAAACCUCUAGAUUUUGUAUUAUGACCCCAUUGAAAGUGAUUUUGCAAACAUCAUAGCAUACUCACCACAAUGCUUUUUUGACAAAGCAUGUGAAAGAUGGGAAAAUAGAAGAAUAAAAACUUUAGACAUUUGCUGAACAAUAUAUGUUUUCUAAUGAUUUUUUUUCUAUAAAAUACUUGGAAAUGAAGAGCAGUGGAAAGAAAUGGUCGAAAGGAAUAAAUUUGCGGACAACCUUUUAUUCUUCAAAAUGUAUUGAAACUAAGAAAUAUUUAAAUUUGAAGAAAUAAAUUCAGAAAAUUAAAUCUUUUGAAUUUUAUCAGAUUACAUGAUUUCCUGAAUAUUUAUGAUAACUACCCAAUUCCAAAUUCUAACAUUUUACCCGAUUUUUUAUGUUUUCUAAAAUGUAUUUUCUUUUACCCAUUUUAUUCAUGUUCUCUUCCAAUUUUACUUGCACACUUAGUUACUACGUGUGCAAAACCACCUCUAUGGCUACUACAAAAUUGCUUUAUAUGAAGCAGUAACUUCGACAAUUCUCACAUUUUUUAGCCUACGAACAAUAGUUCUACUGUAUUUCCAUGGAUUCUAUUUCUAAGACAACUAAUAUUAGUACUCGCAAGUCGCAAUAACAUUUGAAUAUCUACACACAUUACCUAUCCGUCAUUCAUAUCUUAUCUCUGUCGGCUUGUGCCAAUCCCAGACUCUCUCCCAAUGGCCAAAACCACCGCUUCCACAGGGAAUAAACAAAACGGCACGACAGCGAUAGUUGCGGCGUGAAGAAGCAGAGUAGUAGCAGAGUGAUGACUCCGGAGGCACCCGGGUUCGUUGAAAAACCAACGUCCGCGUCCACUGUUUUGCUCCGGACCUCCCAGCCCUCCUCGUGUAUAUAAUCUCAUCCCAGCCCCGCUCUCCCUCUCAUCAACACAAGCAUCAAUCAGCCUUCAUCUCAGUUCAUUCACAAUCACAAAGUCCACACUCUACACUCGACAACUACUCUUCAGUCAUCACCUACUUCGGAGUUUCAGACCAGCAGCACAGAGAGAGAUCAUGGCGGGCGCAGCUAAGGCGUCUUGGAUGGUGGCGAUGAGCGUGGGCGCGGUGGAGGCGCUCAAGGACCAGGUCGGCCUCUGCCGCUGGAACUACGCCCUCAAAUCCAUCCAUCGGGCAGCCAAGGCCAGGGCCAACGUCUGCGGCGGCGUCUCGCAGGGCGCCAAGCAGCUUCCAGCCUCUGCUGCGGCGGUGGCGGAGAGGCGGCAAGGGGAGAAGGCCGAGGAAGGGCUGAGGACGGUGAUGUACCUCAGCUGCUGGGGUCCCAAUUAGAAGCUGCCUACUUGGUAGUACUAGCUAGGCGUCUCUGUGUUUGGUACUAUGGCCUGAAACCACGAUGCAGAAACUUGUGUAAAACAAUAGGCUUUGGGGGGAACCGGCACAACCCUCUAGGGGUGGCCUAUCACAUAUAUAUAUAAUGAGGUGGUAUACAACGUUACAAUAUACACAUGUAAAUACAGUCUAACACCCUCCCUCAAUCUUAGCCACUUUCUAAUGAAUCUAGAAGGGUAAGAUUGCGCCUGCAAGUCUCAAACUGUGGCAAAGGGAAAAACAUGCUCAUCAAACACAACAUCCCGAGAGAUGUAGACACGAUUAGUGGGCACAUGAAGACAUUUGUAUCCUUUAUGAAGAGAGCUAUAACCAAGAAAAACACACUUCUUGGAACGAAACUCGAGCUUACGCUUGUUAUAUGGACGGAGAUGGGGCCAGCAAGCACACCCAAACACCUUGAGAAAGGUGUAGUCCGGUUGUUCAUUAAGGAGAACUUCAAUGGGAGUCUUCAUAUUCAAAACACGAGUGGGAGUACGGUUGAUGAGAAAACAUGCAGUGGUGAAAGCAUCACUCCAAAAACGAAACGGAACAGAUGCAUGGGCCAAAAGAGUCUGACCAGCUUCAACAAUGUGACGAUGCUUACGUUCUACUGAACCAUUCUGCUGAUGUGUAUGUGGACAUGCUAAACGGUGAGUGAUCCCAAGCGACUGAAAGAAGGAGUUGAGGUUGCGAUACUCGCCACCCCAGUCCGACUGAACAUGAACAAUUUUGUGCUUGAGAAGGCGUUCAACAUGUUUUUGAAACUGAACAAAAAUGUCAAACACAUCAGAUUUACGUUUGAUAAGAUAAAGCCAGGUAAAGCGGCUGUAAGCAUCAACAAAACUGAUAUAGUAAUUAUGACCACUAACAGAAGUCUGAGCAGGACCCCAUACAUCUGAAAACACAAGUUCUAAAGGAUGUUUCACCUCACGACUGGACUCCGAAAAAGGAAGUUGAUGACUCUUUCCCUGCUGACAAGCAUCACACACUGCUACAUCUUUAUUACUAGACACACUAGGAAGCUCAUGACGACGCAAAACAUGCCGGACAAUAGGUGUGGCCGGGUGACCAAGACGAGCAUGCCACUGUGACGGAGAUACCCGAACUCCACUGAAGACGCGAGCGACGCUAGGAUGCUCCAGACGAUAGAGACCUUGGCAGAGCCGCCCACUAAGAAGAAUGUCCCUCGUGCCCCGAUCCUUAAUAAAAAGAUCAAAAGGAUGAAAUUCACAAAGCACAUUAUUAUCACGAGUGAGUUUAGGAACUGAAAGAAGAUUACGUGUCACAGAUGGAACUCGAAGAACAUUGCGAAGUUGAAGACUCCUAUUGGCAUGUCUAGUGAGAAGUGAUGCUUGACCAAUAUGAGAGAUGUGCAUACCUGCUCCAUUGGCGGUGUGGAUCUUGUCGGAGCCAUGGUAGGGUUCACGAGUGUGAAGCUUCCCCAUCCCACUGGUCAGGUGCUCUGUCGCCCCAGAGUCCAUGUACCAGUGGGGAUCAAUGGAGUAGGACUGAAUGUGUCCCUGUGGCUUCUGCGGCGACGGACGAUCAGCCAUGGCGACCUGACGAGCAAAGUUGCGUGUAUCCUUCCCGUCAUUGCCGAGACAAAGAAAACCCCGCUGGAAGCGCUUGUGACACUUCGAGGCCCAGUGCCCAUCGCGACCACAAAGCUGGCACACACAUGGACCGCCAGCCCCUGGUAGCGUCGCAGUAGGAGGAGGGGCCGAGGCGGGUGGUGGUGACUGCCCCGAAGGAGCCCUGGAUGAAGCAGAUGAGCGACCACCCUUGGUGGCGGCGUUUGCCGAGAGGGCGCCAUUGCCCCUGGAUCGGCGCGUCUCGACUCGUUGCUCAGUAAGCAGGAGGCGUGAAAAGACCUCGUGUGCUGGCAUGGGCGUGGAGUUGCCCCUCUCAUUGAUGAUCUCGACUAGGGCGUCAUACUCCUCAUCAAGACCAUUGACAAUAAACGAGUUGAACUCGGAGUCGGUGAGGGGCUGUCCAAUGGAGGCCAGCGUGUCGGCGAGACUCUUGACUUUGUUGUAGAACUCAGUGACGGUGGAGUCAAGCUUCUGACACUCCCCAAGUUGGCGACGGAGCCCAGAUACACGAGCCUGCGACUGUGCUGCAAACGAGCGCUCAAGAAUAGUCCAUGCCUCGUGGGACGUCUUGGCGAAGACAACAAGCCCAGCAACGGCCGGAGAGAGCGACCCCUGGAUGGAGGAGAGGUUCGCCUGAUCCUGCCCUGUCCAGACACGGUGAGCCGGAUUAUAGACCGGACCGUGCACGCUGUCAACCAGCGCAGGAGGGCAAGGGAGAGAGCCGUCGACAUAGCCAAGCAGAUAGUGACUCCCAAGAAGCGGAAGAACCUGCGCGCGCCAGAAGAUGUAAUUGUCCGACGAUAACUUGAUGGUGAUGAGAUGGCCGAAGUGAAACGGCGGCGGCGGCUGCGAUCCCAUCGAGGAGACUGGCUGAGGUGAGACCACCGUGGAGACAGUCAGAGGGGCAGCCGGCGCGGUGACAGAGGGCGCGAUGGCCGCGGUUGACGCCGCGAAGCCUGCCAGCGCGACGUGCUCCGCCACCAGCGGCGCAGUGGCCGAGGGCGCGACAGCCGCGGUUGACGGGGCGGCGGCGGUGUGGGCCACAAGCGCCUGCCCGGGCGAAGUAGCAGCCGGCGGGAGCGCGAAGAGGGAGCCGACGCUCCGUGUCCCGAUCGGCGCCUGAAGGGAGGCGGCAUCCAGCGGCCUCGAGAGAAGUGCCGCGAGGGAGGCCGGCAGAAAACCGGUGGCGGUGGAGUCGGACGCAGCGGCGGACGUCAUAGCAGUCGGGCGACGGCGACGGCGGGCGCGGCGGCUGCGGCGGCUUAGGGUUUUUAGGCGGAAGCGGACGUAACCUAGCGUGAUACCAUGUAAAACAAUAGGCUUUGGGGGGAACCGGCACAACCCUCUAGGGGUGGCCUAUCACAUAUAUAUAUAAUGAGGUGGUAUACAACGUUACAAUAUACACAUGUAAAUACAGUCUAACAACUUGGUACUAGCUGGCUUCCCUUGUAAAAACUAGGAUGAUGAUGAUGACAAAUUUCUGUUACUUCAGUUCAUAUUGCUCCCCUUGUCUGUUUGUUUUUUAGUUCCCUCGAUGAGGAAUAUGCAUUGUUUGCUUUAAUUUGGUUUCACCUUACAGCUAUUCCGUUAUCUCUGAACCCGGCCUUUGAUCGUAUGGCAUUACAACUUACAAGUACUUCAUGUUCCUACUUCCUAGCAAACAUGCUGAAUUUCUUCAGUCUGCAGCACACAUGAAGGUGUUAUCUGCAGGUGUUGAAGUGACACAUGAUAAAUUCCCAUAUCUAUAUUGAAGGUGCCAUCAAGCAAUC
rnacentral:lncRNA from 1 species